rnacentral:tRNA from 1 species
UGGGGCGUCGCCAAGCGGUAAGGCACGGGGUUUUGAUCUCCGCAUACCUAGGUUCGAAUCCUAGCGCCCCAG